UACGGGGGGGGCAAGCGUUGUUCGGAAUUACUGGGCGUAAAGGGCGCGUAGGCGGCCUUCUAAGUCAGACGUGAAAUCCCUCGGCUCAACCGAGGAACUGCGUCUGAUACUGGAAGGCUUGAAUCCGGGAGAGGGAUGUGGAAUUCCAGGUGUAGCGGUGAAAUGCGCAGAUAUCGGGAGGAACACCGGUGGCGAAGGCGGUUCUCUGGGCCUGUACUGACGCUGAGGAGCGAAAGCGUGGGGAGCGAACAGG
rnacentral:rRNA from 1 species